rnacentral:RNase_P_RNA from 1 species
UUACUUAUGAGGAAAGUCCGAGCUCCGCAGGGCAGGAUAACGGCUAACGGCCGCCGGGGGUGACCCUCGGGAAAGUGCAACAGAAAUAUACCGCCGCACUCGUUGCGGUAAGGGUGGAAAGGCGAGGUAAGAGCUCACCGGCUUUUCUGGUAACAGUUAAGCCCUGUAAACCCUAUCCGGAGCAAUGUCGACUAAAGUGGCUUGCCCGGCCUAUACUUUGAAGGACAGCUGGAGCCGUGCAGUAAUGUACGGUCGAGAUAGAUAAUUACCUGAAAAACAGAACUCGGCUUACAGGUGCA